AAGGUGCUUAUCAAUGUUUGUAUGGCUAGCAUAUCUGUACAUGACUUAAACAAUAAUACUCUUCCCCCAGCAGAAUCCCUAGCGCAAACUGAGUUUAUUUACACGUUUCACACUGAGAUGGCUUUCUUUCACACUGUUUCCCAGUUUACCCUUUUUAAUGGAAGUCCGCCUCACCUUGUGGUGGAGGAAUGGAGGCUGCUGGGGAGAAACUGGCCUUGCGGGAUGAUCCCAAUCCGGAAUUCGACCUGCUGGUGACAAGACAUGCAGAGUGAGGCACAGAGAGAGAAACACAAGGAAAAGUAAAAGCGACAUACCAGGGACAGACAGAUGGACAGAGCGUGAGAGUUGCAGUGAGGACAGGUGUCCAAGACACAGAGAAAGUGCAGAGGGAUGCAGAGCUACAAGGGAACGAGCAGGAGACCACAUUUAAUGACUGAAUACACACAUUGAAGGUGUGUAGCAUGUGCUGAAGGGGUGCGUGUUGCCAUAGCACAGAAUCUCGAUUCCAGCUUAUGUUCUGUGCGUCACAUCUGAUAUAAACCUACCCAUCAGCCUCUAUUUCACUUUGCUGGUGUCGAGUCAAUGCGUAGAGGAUGGACAUGGAGACAACACUGCGGAGAGACAAUAUGGAGGAAGCACACAGGCUCUCGAUACGGCUGUGCUCUCCAGGCCUCACCUGACUGUUCCCCCGCUCACAGUGCUCUUCAUGCUGUCCAGCCGCCG